AAAAAAGCAGAGGUCUGUACUUUUCUCCUCUGAGCAGGCCUCUCGUAAACUUCAGGGAAAUUAUUUGCACCAUUAUCGGGUGAACCUUUAUAAACUAUACUUGUGAAUAAAGGUUCAAUAAAUUUUUGUGACAUUA
rnacentral:snoRNA from 1 species